UCGCCGGACCACGUGGUUCGCGCCCCUCUCCUCCAAUCGCGGCCGGGCGAGGAGGCGCGCGCCUUGCCUGCGGGGUGGAGGAGCGCGGCGUUCUAAGCCCUUCCGCCCCGCCUCCUUCCCCGCCGCCAUCUUGUCUCCUCACACGCGAGCCGUGCGUAGCCGGCGGCCUGAGAUGAGCGGGGCGCUCGACCCCGCGCGUCCCCACACACGCGAAACGGGACGGUUGCUUCCAAGUAUUCGAGGAAAAGGGAGCGGUGGAGGCGGAUGGAGGGCGCAACUACCUUUAGAUAUACAGUAUAUCUUUUUAUUUUUAUUGAACUGGUCGGUCUCUAUCUUGGCACAGGCAGGGCAACCCGAAGCGUCGUAACAGCCACCGGCCAGCCCACCUUCUUCCACGGAACUAAGUGGAAUAAAGCUGCGAUCCUAAACACCCAUAGCUUCGGCGUCAGGAAGCUGCUCAUCAGGUCCAUCUACCUCAGUAUUGUCUGCACUGAGUGGCAGCAGCUUCCCAGGAUUUCUGGCAGGAGCCUCUCCCAACUCUAAUCUGGGGGUGUCGGGGAUCGAACCCGGGACCUUCCGCUUGCAAGGCGGACGCUUUGCUCCUGAGCUAUGGGUUGCUCGGAGUUCUUCAGUUUCUACGGGGCCCAUCAAAUAAGAAUAAAAUACUCACGGCUUAGGCACGCCCUUAAUCCUUUUGUAGUGGGACGGCUUGUUAAUAACCCGCCUGUAGCAUUUAUAAAUUGCACCCGUUACUCGAAGCAGCCGAGCCGAUAGCAAACUUCCGCUCAAGCGGACCUGCCUGCUUUACUUGGAAGCAAGUCCUAUUGAAAUUGGUGGGAUUUGCAGUGCGAUUCUAACCAUAUCUACACCCAAGCAAGUCAUGCUGAAUUUAGUGGCAUUUGCUACCAGGUUUUGUUCUUGGCUGCAGCUCAGGGUUAGAGAUGAAAGAGCUUUCGGAGAACUGCUCUCUAAACCCUGCACAGUCGCAUGAUCCUGAACAACGAAAUUGAAAAAAUCUACAUGAGACAUUCAAAACCAACAAGCCUGCUACUGGAAACCUGGAAGAUGGUGUGGAAAGGAAGCAAAGGAGAAACCAAAAGCGGACCUUCCCUGUCUUGACGUUUUAGAACGAUAUUUCUAAUAUCAUUCUAAUAACGUUUAAAAGUAGGCAUCCAGCCUACCUGCCCAGAUCCCUGGGCUUAACCAAACUCACCAUAUCCAAGCACCAGGAUCACCAGCACAAUCAUCACCC